rnacentral:rRNA from 1 species
CAGCCGCCGCGGGAAUACCGGCAGCACGAGUGAUGACCGCUAUUAUUGGGCCUAAAGCGUCCGUAGCUGGCCACGCAAGUCCGUCGGGAAAUCCGCGCGCUUAACGCGCGGGCGUCCGGUGGAAACUGUGUGGCUUGGGACCGGAAGAUCCAGAGGGUACGUCCGGGGUAGGAGUGAAAUCCCGUAAUCCUGGACGGACCACCGGUGGCGAAAGCGCUCUGGAAAGACGGAUCCGACGGUGAGGGACAAAAACUCGGGUCACGAACCGGAUUAGAUACCCGGGUAGUCCCUGUCUCUUAUA